rnacentral:rRNA from 1 species
UUACCUGCCCGCGUAAGAUUAAUUAAAGGGCGCGGUAUUUUGCCGGGCAAAGGUAGCAUAAUCAUUUGUCUUUUAAUGAAGGCUUGUAUGAAUGGUUGGACAAAGAAAAACUGUCUUUGUAGUAUAAAUUGAAUUUGACUUUUAAGUGAAAGGCUUAAAUGAGCCAAGGGGACGAUAAGACCCUAUAAAGCUUUAUAUAAAUAUUAUAUUUAUUUAAAUUUAAUAAUGAAAGAGUUUAAUAUAAUAAAGUAUUUUGUUGGGGCGACAUAUAUAUAAUUAAUUAUAACUGUAUAAGUUAAUUACUUGGGUUAUUGAGUUAAGAGUAAAUGGUCCUUAUUAAAGAUUAAAAGAUUAAGUUACUUUAGGGAUAACAGCGUAAUUUUUUUUAAGAGUUCUUAUCGAAAAAAAAGUUUGCGACCUCGAUGUUGAAUUAAAUUUCUAUAUAAUGUAGUUGUUAUAUAAGAGGGUCUGUUCGACCUUUAAAUUUUUACAUGAUUUGAGUUCAGACCGGCGUAAGCC